rnacentral:rRNA from 1 species
UAGGGAAUCUUCGGCAAUGGGGGGAACCCUGACCGAGCAACGCCGCGUGUGUGAAGAAGGUUUUCGGAUCGUAAAGCUCUGUUGUUAAGGAAGAACGAGUGUGAGAAUGGAAAGUUCAUACUGUGACGGUACUUAACCAGAAAGGGACGGCUAACUACGUGCCAGCAGCCGCGGUAAUACGUAGGUCUCGAGCGUUGUCCGGAUUUAUUGGGCGUAAAGCGAGCGCAGGCGGUUAGAUAAGUCUGAAGUUAAAGGCAGUGGCUCAACCAUUGUAGGCUUUGGAAACUGUUUGACUUGAGUGCAGAAGGGGAGAGUGGAAUUCCAUGUGUAGCGGUGAAAUGCGUAGAUAUGUGGAGGAACACCGGUGGCGAAAGCGGCUCUCUGGUCUGUCACUGACGCUGAGGCUCGAAAGCGUGGGGAGCAAACAGG